UACGAAGGGGGGCUAGCGUUGCUCGGAAUCACUGGGCGUAAAGCGCACGUAGGCGGAUUGUUAAGUCAGGGGUGAAAUCCUGGAGCUCAACUCCAGAACUGCCUUCGAUACUGAGAGUCUCGAGUCCGGGAGAGGUGAGUGGAACUGCGAGUGUAGAGGUGAAAUUCGUAGAUAUUCGCAAGAACACCAGUGGCGAAGGCGGCUCACUGGCCCGGUACUGACGCUGAGGUGCGAAAGCGUGGGGAGCAAACAGG
rnacentral:rRNA from 1 species